rnacentral:rRNA from 1 species
AGCAGCCGUGGUAAUUCCAGCUCCAAUAGCGUAUAUUAAAGUUGUUGCAGUUAAAAAGCUCGUAGUUGAAUUUCGGGAUCAAUUAAUUGGUCGUGCCUCUGGUACGUACUGAUUUUAUUGGUUUCUCCCUUCUGACGAACCAUGAUGUCAUUAAUUUGGUGUCGUGGAGAAUCAGGACUGUUACUUUGAAAAAUUAGAGUGUUUAAAGCAAGCUAACGCUUGAAUACAUUAGCAUGGAAUAAUGAAAUAGGACGUUUGAUCCUAUUUUGUGGUUUCUAGGAUUGACGUAAUGAUUAAUAGGGAUAGUUGGGGGCAUUAGUAUUCAAUUGUCAGAGGUGAAAUUCUUGGAUUUAUUGAAG